AGUUGCGGCCCAUAUCUUGGUGAAAAUACGGUUUCCGUCCGGAUCAGCCAUAGUCAACCCAAAGCCCAGUUAGUAUUGUAUGGGAACCAUACGAGAAUCCUGGUGCUGCCAAU
rnacentral:rRNA from 1 species